ensembl:lncRNA
GUGCAGAAUGGUGCAUGUGUUGCUGAAGCAUUUCCUUGGUUGGUGGGAUGAUCUCCUCAUCGUCACCGUUGAUGCCGUUGACCUUGGUGUGGAGCAGGGUAAUGCCGGGUGCUGCAGAUGGUCUGUGCCGCGGACCAGACGGAGGGGUCCGUCAGGGCGGUCCACUCCCAUUGGAAGGGUACCGGGAUCGAUUCCCCGAUGUCUUUCUUUAGAAAGCAAAGAUGGUUGGCGUGAGGGAACUCAGAACCCAACUCCCUCCCUGGACGAGCCGUCGACCAUAGCCUCGGGGUUAAGAUUCUUCGACUCCCAGCCGAAGUGUUCCGGGUUCAAUCCCUGACCUAGACACGCCCGCUCCUUACAACCUGUAUCUGUAUCCCCUGUCACUUUGGACUGCUGUGUCUGCGGAAAUGGAUAAAAAGCACAAAUGGCAAACAGCAAAAAAAUGAAUAAACAUGUGUGGGGAGUUCUCCACUGAAUUCCUGGAGCGG